UGGGACCCAGCCAGCCGCGAAAACCAUGUACACGCAAACACGUACACAGCUUGCGCGGGACUGCGCCCAGCUCACUCUAGGAGAUGGACUCCGGCUGUUUUGAAGAGCCACAGAAAGAAGCUCUGACUUGACUGCUGACUUUUGAGAACGCCUGUGAAGGAGACAGUGACUCCAGAGGAAGCAGAGCUGGAUGAUGGUUGGAAAAUUCAAGAAGACAUCAUGAGGAGGCAUGUCAGAAUGGAAACGUGGAUUAUUUACAAGGAUUCAGGGGCAGUUCUCCAGAUGGAAGGCUGGUGUUAGGAAAGAC
rnacentral:lncRNA from 9 species